rnacentral:tRNA from 3 species
AAAUUUAUAUUUUAUAAUAAAAAUAUUUUAUUUACUAUAAAAAGAAAAAAAUAAU